CCCGGUCACCAAGACUUGCCCGGGGUUGCAGCAGGACUCAGUCAUGGAACCCAGGAGUCCUGAGUCAGCCCAAUCCGUCCCCCGCCCUGAGCUGGGGAUGGAACCCAGGUGUCCUGAGUCAGCCCAAUCCAUCCCCCGCCCCGAGCUGGGGAUGGAACCCAGGAGUCCUGAGUCAGCCCAAUCCGUCCCCCGCCCUGAGCUGGGGAUGGAACCCAGGAGUCCUGAGUCAGCCCAGAUCCAUCCCCCGCCCCGAGCUGGGGAUGGAACCCAGGAGUCCUGAGUCAGCCCAGUUCCACCCCAA